rnacentral:lncRNA from 1 species
GAGGAGUUAGAUAAAAAAGUUUUGUGUUUAGAGAUUGAUUUUAAUAAUUUAUAAGAUGAAGAUGAUUUCAAGAACAAUAAUGAGAUUGUGGGAGAAAUUGGGGUUUUCGAAAAUGUGAGGCUAAACUCUGUUGAAGCUAAUAUGCAUGCAUCAAAUGCUGGUAAAAAUUCAACCUUCUUUAACCUUUUUUAUUUUGUUUUUGUGUUUAUUUAUUAACUGUUGCAUGCUCCCAAAAUGCUUGUUGAUUAAUUUUACCUUUAAAAAAUCAGAAAUCAUGAAGCUCAAAAAUGAGAGAUGAAGAUGAAGAAGAUAGUGUGGCAGCCAGGGUAGGAAAAAGAAAAAGAACAAAAGAAAAAGGGAAGAAAAGGAGGGAAAAUGAAAAAGAAAAAGAGGUACAAAAAGGAUGACUCAUGGCGUUGCACAAGUUGCCAAUUCUGCCACAUCAGCAAAAAUGUAAUGGUGUUAGGCUCAAAUACUAAUAUAGUUGACAGAAAAAAAAAUCGAGUAAUAAUCUUGAACAAAAAAAUUAUAAAUAUCAAUUUGAAAGAAGUAAAUAAGUUCGAGUACCAAUUUUAUAUUUAACUUUUAAUUAAUAGUAAAUAAGAAAUGGGUUUCUUGGAAAGAUGUUUUAAUUAAUAGUAACUGAUAAUGCUAUAUAGACUGGAAAGACUGGAAAUGGGGAUUGAUCAUGCGAUAGGAUUAUAGUAUUUAAUAAUUAAUUUUCAUUAAAUUAGACAGUAU